rnacentral:misc_RNA from 1 species
CAAAUGUUUAAAUAAAGUGGGAAAAGUUGUCAAAUACAACAAAUUCAUCACCAGUAACAAAAUUAAGUGCAUAAAUUACAGCACACUACAAAUUUCUGUGACAUGUUAACCUCAAAAUAUUUUAAUCCUCAAUACAAGCAUUGCAGGUAUACCAUGGCUUUAAAUCGCGGUCGCGGUUGUAAUCGCAGUUGUAAUCGCAGUCGUUAUCACGGAUAACGGAAACAAGCCUGUGAUGGUCAUAAUGUAACAAUAACGGCCUAUCGCUAUGCAAAUUUUUUUAUAAAAUUUGCAAAGUUCAUAAAAUG